UGGGGAAUUUGGACGAAUUGGGCGACAAGCCAUGCAUCCAGCCAUGCCGCGUGAGUGAUGAAAGGCCCUUAGGGUUGUAAAGCUCUUUCGCCGGUGAAGAUAAUGACGGUAACCGGAGAAGAAGCCCCCGGCUAACUUCGUGCCAGCAGCCGCGGUAUACGAAGGGGGCGUAGCGUUGCUUCGGAAAUCACUGGGCGUAAAGCGCACGUAGGCGGAUCGUUAAGUCAGGGGGUGAAAAUCCUGGAGCUCAACUCCAGAACUGCCCUUGAUACUGGCGAUCUCGAGUUCGAGAGAGGUUGGUGGAACUCCGAGUGUAGAGGUGAAAUUCGUAGAUAUUCGGAAGAACACCAGUGGCGAAGGCGGCCAACUGGCUCGAUACUGACGCUGAGGU
rnacentral:rRNA from 1 species